rnacentral:tRNA from 18 species
GGAGGAUUCGCAUAGUGGCCUAGUGCGCACGAUUGGAAAUCGUGUUGGGGAUGAAACCCCUCGCGGGUUCAAAUCCCGCAUCCUCCGCCA